AGCGAACGCUGGCGGCAGGCCUAACACAUGCAAGUCGAGCGGCCGUAGCAAUACGGCAGCGGCAGACGGGAGAGUAACACGUGGGAACGCGCCCUUCGGUUCGGAAUAACUCAGGGAAACUUGGGCUAAUACCGGAUACGCCCUUACGGGGAAAGAUUUAUUGCCGAAGGGACGGCCCGCGUCCGAUUAGCUUGUUGGUGAGGUAACGGCUCACCAAGGCGACGAUCGGGAGCUGGUCUGAGAGGAUGACCAGCCUCACUGGGACGGAGACACGGCCGCGAGUCCUACGGGAGGAAGCAGUGGGGAAUAUUGGACAAUGGGCGCAAGCCUGAUCCAGCCAUGCCGCGUGAGUGAUGAAGGCCCUAGGGUUGUAAAGCUCUUUCAGCGGGGAAGAUAAUGACGGUACCCGCAGAAGAAGCCCCGGCUAACUUCGUGCCAGCAGCCGCAGUAAAAC
rnacentral:rRNA from 1 species